AUCCUAGCUGUAAACGAUGGGUACUAGGUGUUGGGGUAUCGACCCCUCCAGUGCCGGAGUUAACGCAAUAAGUACCCCGCCUGGGGAGUACGGCCGCAAGGUUGAAACUCAAAGGAAUUGACGGGGGCCCGCACAAGCGGUGGAGUAUGUGGUUUAAUUCGACGCAACGCGAAGAACCUUACCAGGACUUGACAUCGUCUGAUGAACCUAGAGAUAGGAAGUUCUCUUUCGGGAGACAGAUAGACAGGUGGUGCAUGGCUGUCGU
rnacentral:rRNA from 1 species